rnacentral:piRNA from 1 species
GAAUGGAACAGGAGUAUACUCUGAUGGG